rnacentral:rRNA from 1 species
AUUGAACGCUGGCGGCAGGCCUAACACAUGCAAGUCGAGCGGAUGAAGGGAGCUUGCUCCUGGAUUCAGCGGCGGACGGGUGAGUAAUGCCCAGGAAUCUGCCUGGUAGUGGGGGAUAACGUCCGGAAACGGGCGCUAAUACUGCAUACGUCCUGAGGGAGAUAGUGGGGGAUCUUCGGACCUUACGCUAUCAGAUGAGCCUAGGUCGGAUUAGCUAGUUGGUGGGGUAAAGGCCUACCAAGGCGACGAUCCGUAACUGGUCUGAGAGGAUGAUCAGUCACACUGGAACUGAGACACGGUCCAGACUCCUACGGGAGGCAGCAGUGGGGAAUAUUGGACAAUGGGCGAAAGCCUGAUCCAGCCAUGCCGCGUGUGUGAAGAAGGUCUUCGGAUUGUAAAGCACUUUAAGUUGGGAGGAAGGGCAGUAAGUUAAUACCUUGCUGUUUUGACGUUACCAACAGAAUAAGCACCGGCUAACUUCGUG